rnacentral:rRNA from 1 species
AUUGAACGCUGGCGGCAGGCCUAACACAUGCAAGUCGAGCGGAUGAAGGGAGCUUGCUCCUGGAUUCAGCGGCGGACGGGUGAGUAAUGCCUAGGAAUCUGCCUGGUAGUGGGGGAUAACGUCCGGAAACGGGCGCUAAUACCGCAUACGUCCUGAGGGAGAAAGUGGGGAUGUUUGGACCCCACGCUACCGGAUGAGCCUAGGUCGGAUUAGCUAGUUGGUGGGGUAAAGGCCUACCAAGGCGACGAUCCGUAACUGGUCUGAGAGGAUGAUCAGUCACACUGGAACUGAGACACGGUCCAGAGGCCUACGGGAGGCAGCAGUGGGGAAUAUUGGGCAAUGGGCGAAAGCCUGAUCCAGCCAGGCCGCGUGUGUGAAGAAGGUCUUCGGAUUGUAAAGCACUUUAAGUUGGGAGGAAGGGCAGUAAGUUAAUACCUUGCUGUUUUGACGGUACCAACAGAAUAAGCACCGGCUAACUUCGUG